rfam:Triticum aestivum genome assembly, contig: Triticum_aestivum_CS42_TGACv1_scaffold_129693_2BL
UUUGUACUCCCUCCGUUCCAAAUUACUCGUUGCUGCAAUGAAUGUAUCUAGAACUAAAAUACAUCUAGAUACAUCCAUACGUGCGACAAGUAAUUCGGAACGGAGGGAGUAGUAC